AUCACUUUAGAUGCAUUUACUGCUAAGUAUCUACUCAGCGGCUCCAGUUACAUUGAUGUCAGGACAAAGGAAGAAUUCAAUAAUGGGCACCUGGAGAAUGCACUGAAUAUCCCAUACAUGUUUUAUACUAAAAAAGGUACUGCUAAAUUAAUAUUUACAGAUCUAUAUAUUUUUAAUUCUCAAUUGAAUUUUCACUUUUAUUUUUCUUUGAGUUGAUAAUAAUUCAAUUUUAUUUAUUGUUGUCACCGGCAUUAAUUCAGGCUGGGUGAAGAACCCUAAAUUUGUCGACAAGGUUCUUGCCGUUUGUGGCAAAGAAGAUCGUCUUAUCGUGGGUUGCCAAGAUGGAGCAAGAUCUGAGCAUGCAUGUAACGAUCUUCGUGACGCUGAGUUCAGACAUGUAUCAAAUAUGGGAGGAGGAUACUCUGCGUUGGUUGCUAAUGGAUCAUAUGUAAUUACGAAGCCAGAACCUACGAAGCCAAAACUCAGUUUCAUUGCAAGAAUAUGUCGCUUAUUUUAGAGACGUGUUGUGCUAUUUUUACCCUUAAAAUAUCUUAUUUCAAUACUAAUUUAAAUAUAUUUUCUAUUU